rnacentral:rRNA from 1 species
AAAAAUGGUCUAGCAACGCCUUAUACAUUGACGCGCGAAUAGGUCAUUACACAGCCGUAGUUAUUGGAUCUAAUCCUACUUGGAUACCUGCGGUAAUUCUAGAGCUAAUACACGCAAAAAGCCUGAACCUCUGGGACGGGUGCAUUUAUUAAAACAAAACCAAUCAGCCCUGCCGUCAUUUGGAGAAUCUGAAUAACUCAUCUGAUCGCACGGUCUUGUACCGGCGACAUGUCUUUCAAGUGUCUGCCUUAUCAACUUUCGAUGGUAGUUUAUGUGCCUACCAUGGUUGCAACGGGUAACGGGGAAUGGGGCGGGGGCGGCGGGCCGGGCGCGGGGCGCGGCGGGCGAGAC